GGCAACUUGGCCGAGCGGUCUAAGGCGCCAGACUCAAGCGAAAGCUUCAUCCGUCUCAACGGGUGAGUAUUCUGGUCUCGCAAGAGGCGUGAGUUCGAAUCUCACAGUUGUCA
rnacentral:tRNA from 1 species